rnacentral:misc_RNA from 1 species
AUGAAAUAAUAUGCUAGGGCCCCUGCUGGGGACCGAUGCAUUAGGACGCUCUCUUUAGAGGUCCGACCCAUUCAUUACCUUUACACUGUGCACACUCUCUUUACACACCUUUAAACACUUCAGUAUAAGAAUGUAACAGUCUCUUGAUUGAGCAUAAAACAAGUUA